GUGCUCGCUCACUUCUACAGCACAUCCACUAAAACUGGAAUGAUUAGCGUGGCCCCUGUGCAAGGGUAAACACAAAUUUGUGAAGCAUUCCAUAUGGUG
ensembl:snRNA U6 U6 spliceosomal RNA